GGUGCUCGAAAGAGAACCGUAACACAGGUGCUGCAUGGCUGUCGUCAGCUCGUGUCGUGAGAUGUUGGGUUAAGUCCCGCAACGAGCGCAACCCUUGUCAUUAGUUGCUACAUUCAGUUGGGCACUCUAAUGAGACUGCCGGUGACAAACCGGAGGAAGGUGGGGAUGACGUCAAGUCCUCAUGGCCCUUAUAGGUGGGGCUACACACGUCAUACAAUGGCCGGUACAAAGGGUUGCCAACCCGCGAGGGGGAGCUAAUCCCAUAAAGCCGGUCGUAGUCCGGAUCGCAGUCUGCAACUCGACUGCGUGAAGUCGGAAUCGCUAGUAAUCGUGGAUCAGAAUGUCACGGUGAAUACGUUCCCGGGUCUUGUACACACCGCCCGUCACACCAUGGGAGCGGGUUCUGCCAGAAGUAGUUAGCCUAACCGCAAGGAGGGCGAUUACCACGGCAGGGUUCGUGACUGGGGUGAAGUCGUAACAAGGUAGCCGUAUCGGAAGGUGCGGCUGGAUCACCUCCUUUCUG
rnacentral:rRNA from 1 species